GGGGUCUUGGGUGCCAUCUGGUCUGGGUUAGCAACUGGAUAAUAAAGACAGUUAAUCUAUAACAAAGAUCAGUGAUUGGAAGGGGGGAAGUCUGGUCUCUGGUCUCUCCUAGGCAUUUACAGGACAAAAGCAAGGAGGAAGAGAGUUAAGCUUUAAUCUAAGAAGCAAAAUUGCAAACAUGCUACUGUCUCUAGGGCUUAACUUCCUCCUUUGGCAAAAUAAAUCUAGAGGCUUCUGAAAUUUUAUUUUAAACUACACAUUUUUUUGGCUUUUUAACUACUAUGAUCAAAUUUUAUCAGUGUUACUUAGCAAUAAAUCAUGAAUGUUUUUCUGUCAUUAAAUAUUCUGUAACAUAAUUUUAUUGGUUUCAUAGGCCAUUGUAUGGUCUAUGAGAAUUUACUUUACCUAUUAUUAGACAUUUAAGUGUUUCUGUUUGUUUUAGUAAAUAAUGGAGAACAAGAAGAUCCCAAUGGUUACCAGGUGGCUGCCAACUGCCCAGGUGGGCAACACUUCCCUGCAUGGUUCUGGCAUCACUCACACUGCAUUGUGCAGGAGCACCUCUGGGAGCACAGCCGAGGAUAUGUGUAGUGCUCCCUGUGCCGCAUUGUGCUAUGGCCAUGGCUGGCAGCCCCUGGGACCCUGUCAGGGAAAAGGAGGACAUGAAGUCCCAUUCCAGACUCCAAGAGAGGGUUCUUGGAUCUCAACAAGAAAGAAUUCCAGCCUCCUCCUGAGCUGUCUUGCCCGCCGGGGCACCACGAGACUCCUCCUCCAGGGCUCUGCCUCCUGGCCUUGCUUGGAAAGGACGGAGCUGGAAGGAGAUUUAAUACACACAGAAGAGGAGAUGGCAGAGCCGCCGAGGAAGCAGAGAUUGGCCACAAGACAAAGGCUGCUGGCAGCUCCCAGAAGCUCCUGCAGGCGAGGACUCUCUUACAGCCUUCGGACAGCUGUGACCCUGCUUCGACCCUGAUUAGGGCCCAGUGAUACUGACUUCGCAUUUCUGGCCUUCAGAACU
rnacentral:lncRNA from 1 species